rnacentral:sRNA from 12 species
UCACCGGCAUCUGCGUUAAAGCUUGGCAGAAAUAAAACCCCGGCACCGGACAUGACGAAGAGG